AACGAACGCUGGCGGCAUGCCUAACACAUGCAAGUCGAACGAGACCUUCGGGUCUAGUGGCGCACGGGUGCGUAACGCGUGGGAACCUGCCCUUAGGUUCGGAAUAACUCCCCGAAAGGGGUGCUAAUACCGGAUAAUGUCUUCGGACCAAAGAUUUAUCGCCUUUGGAUGGGCCCGCGUUGGAUUAGCUAGUUGGUAGGGUAAAAGCCUACCAAGGCGACGAUCCAUAGCUGGUCUGAGAGGAUGAUCAGCCACACUGGGACUGAGACACGGCCCAGACUCCCUCGGGGGGGAGCAGGGGGGAAAAUUGGACAAUGGGCGAAAGCCUGAUCCAGGAAUGCCGGGGGGGUGAUGAAGGCCUUAGGGUUGUAAAGCUCUUUUACCCGGGAUGAAAAUGACAGUACCGGGGGAAUAAGCCCCGGCUAAACCCG
rnacentral:rRNA from 1 species